rnacentral:rRNA from 1 species
AACGAACGCUGGCGGCAUGCCUAACACAUGCAAGUCGAACGAGACCUUCGGGUCUAGUGGCGCACGGGUGCGUAACGCGUGGGAACCUGCCCUUAGGUUCGGAAUAACUCCCCGAAAGGGGUGCUAAUACAGGAUAAUGUCUUCGGACCAAAGAUUUAUCGCCUUUGGAUGGGCCCGCGUUGGAUUAGCUAGUUGGUAGGGUAAAAGCCUACCAAGGCGACGAUCCAUAGCUGGUGUGAGAGGAUGAUCAGCCACACUGGGACUGAGACACGGCCCAGACUCCUACGGGAGGCAGCAGUGGGGAAUAUUGGACAAUGGGCGAAAGCCUGAUCCAGCAAUGCCGCGUGAGUGAUGAAGGCCUUAGGGUUGUAAAGCUCUUUUACCCGGGAUGAUAAUGACAGUACCGGGAGAAUAAGCUCCGGCUAACUCCGUG